AGUCCUACGGGAGGCAGCAGUGAGGAAUAUUGGUCAAUGGACGCAAGUCUGAACCAGCCAUGCCGCGUGCAGGAAGACGGCUCUAUGAGUUGUAAACUGCUUUUGUACGAGGGUAAACGCAGAUACGCGUAUCUGUCUGAAAGUAUCGUACGAAUAAGGAUCGGCUAACUCCGUGCCAGCAGCCGCGGUAAUACGGAGGAUUCAAGCGUUAUCCGGAUUUAUUGGGUUUAAAGGGUGCGCAGGCGGCCCGUUAAGUCAGCGGUAAAAGCCCGGGGCUCAACCCCGGCGAGCCGUUGAAACUGGCG
rnacentral:rRNA from 1 species